GCUGGGCAUUGUGGCUCAUGCCUGUAAUCCCAGUGACUGGGGGAGGCUGAAGCAGGAGGAUCUCAAGUUCAAAGCCAGCCUCUGUAAUUUAGUGAGACUCUAUCUCAA
rnacentral:sRNA from 1 species